UAUCUAACAUUUCUUUAAUUAAGAUGUAUUUUCUUGAUGAGCAAAAUUACCUAAAAAAAGAAGUCUUGAAAAAGAAGAGAAGAACAUUUAAUUGAAUUAAGUGUUUAAGAAAAAGGUAAACUUAUUUCAAGAUUUUUUCUCACCCCAUUUUUUGUUUACAAUCUAGACUUUUCUUAUUUUAUUUUGCUUAUCAAGAAAAUACAUCUUAAUUUAACAAUUUUUGGAUAUUUGUACUGAAAACAAGACAAAAAUACUAAGAAUCUUUUUUUGCAGUUUAUAAUAUCUAAAUUAUUCACAGAUAUUAAUUAUUCCCUUGCCUCCUUUUUUUCUGUCCAGUUUAUCUGUAAGUAAACUAAAGUGAAUGACAUUUGUGCUGACACUGUACUGUAUGUGCUAUGCUGUCUGUAAGGCAAACACUGUUAAUUACUGGUACAGGACUGCACAUGCCCAUCCCAUCCCCUCAGUGCUGUUAGAUUUCAGGAAGUUACCAUCCAAUAAAUACGCUACGCAGUCUUAGGGACACCUGAAAAGCUCAACUCAACUCAGCUACCGAAUUUUGACACUACUUGCUGUGCAUAUUUAAAGGGGUCAAGUUUUGCAAAAUGUCUAAGGAUACUUAUAAACUAAAAUCAUCAACAUUGUGGACAGAAGCCAACAAACAAAG